rnacentral:rRNA from 1 species
GAGUUUGAUCCUGGCUCAGGAUGAACGCUGGCGGCGUGCUUAACACAUGCAAGUCGAACGAAGCGGUCUGGUUGAAGCCUUCGGGCGGAAACCAGACUGACUGAGUGGCGGACGGGUGAGUAACGCGUGGGCAACCUGCCUCACACAGGGGGAUAACAGCUAGAAAUGGCUGCUAAUACCGCAUAAGCGCAUAGCAUGGCAUCAUGCAGUGUGAAAAACUCCGGUGGUGUGAGAUGGGCCCGCGUCUGAUUAGGUAGUUGGUGAGGUAACGGCCCACCAAGCCGACGAUCAGUAGCCGACCUGAGAGGGUGACCGGCCACAUUGGGACUGAGACACGGCCCAAACUCCUACGGGAGGCAGCAGUGGGGAAUAUUGCACAAUGGGGGAAACCCUGAUGCAGCGACGCCGCGUGAAGGAAGAAGUAUCUCGGUAUGUAAACUUCUAUCAGCAGGGAAGAAGAAUGACGGUACCUGACUAAGAAGCCCCGGCUAACUACGUGCCAGCAGCCGCGGUAAUACGUAGGGGGCAAGCGUUAUCCGGAUUUACUGGGUGUAAAGGGAGCGUAGGCGGCGAUGCAAGUCAGAAGUGAAAGCCCAGGGCUUAACCGUGGGACUGCUUUUGAAACUGUGUUGCUGGAUUGCCGGAGAGGUAAGUGGAAUUCCUAGUGUAGCGGUGAAAUGCGUAGAUAUUAGGAGGAACACCAGUGGCGAAGGCGGCUUACUGGACGGUGAAUGACGCUGAGGCUCGAAAGCGUGGGGAGCAAACAGGAUUAGAUACCCUGGUAGUCCAUGCCGUAAACGAUGAAUACUAGGUGUCGGGGCCCMMMAGGGUCCCGGUGCCGCAGCAAACGCAAUAAGUAUUCCACCUGGGGAGUACGUUCGCAAGAAUGAAACUCAAAGGAAUUGACGGGGACCCGCACAAGCAGCGGAGCAUGUGGUUUAAUUCGAAGCAACGCGAAGAACCUUACCAGGUCUUGACAUCCCUCUGAAACUCCUGAUAACGAUGGAGCCUCCUUCGGGACAGAGGAGACAGGUGGUGCAUGGUUGUCGUCAGCUCGUGUCGUGAGAUGUUGGGUUAAGUCCCGCAACGAGCGCAACCCUUGCCGAUAGUUGCCAUCAUUAAGUUGGGCACUCUAUCGGGACUGCCGGGGACAACUCGGAGGAAGGUGGGGAUGACGUCAAAUCAUCAUGCCCCUUAUGAUCUGGGCUACACACGUGCUACAAUGGUCGGUACAAAAGGCAGCAAUCCCGUGAGGGGGAGCAAAUCCCAAAAACCGAUCCCAGUUCGGACUGUAGGCUGCAACUCGCCUACACGAAGUCGGAGUUGCUAGUAAUCGUGGAUCAGAAUGCCACGGUGAAUGCGUUCCCGGGUCUUGUACACACCGCCCGUCACACCACGGAAGUUGGGGGUGCCCGAAGUUGGCAGGCAAAUAUGUUACCUAAGGCAAAACCGAUGACUGGGGUGAAGUCGUAACAAGGUAGCCGUUCGAGAACGAGCGGCUGGAUCACCUCCCUU